UAAUCGACCAACAUAGUAGAGGUUAGCCCAGAAUUUGUGAUUGAGCCUUCAUGGUGACUAUGACUGUAUUGACAUAGAUCCUCAGAUUUUGUCACCAGCCAAGAGUCUAUAAUAGAAAAAUAGACAAGAACCACACAUGUCACUGGCUUUUCUAUGAAGUUUUACUGAGUCCUGCCUGUUCACCAGAUUCUCAGGGUGAAGGUUGGUAAGAAAGCGAAAUUGCCACUUCUAGCUCUUUGAAAAAUUCCUGGGGUCUAGAAGAGAAGACACAAAUAAGUCACCCUAAGCAAACACGAUUCUUGUGGAACAAACAACUCCAAGAAAACGUAUUCACUCUGGACAAAGCCACAGAAAGGGUUGGGGCAUUCCACCCUGGGAAGAGUGACCUGUUGUGAGGAUGCAGUUUUAGACAUGGUGGAAUUUGAGAUAACGUCUGGAACCUGAGUAGUGACUACCCAAUUGAAGAAGGGAUUAUCAACACCUAGAUUAGCAACAAGAACUGAUACAGCACGCUCAUCAAACAGGAGGAAAUCAAGACAUAAAGAGAUAGCAAAUAUCCAGGAAUUUGAAUAAAGCUGGUGCUAAAGUAUGACAAUCAAACAAAUAUGUUAAAAACUCUGUAAAUGAGGACUCUGUGCUUCAGACCAUGAAUCAUGCCCAUUUUCCCUCUCACCCAGUGCUCAUCUGCUCAGACUGGCUCAUAGGAAUAUGAUGUCUGAAUCUCAUGAGUGGAAUCCCCAAGUCCAUCCCAUGAAGAUAAUCUUUCCCUAGAUUAGUGGCUUUGACUGAGUCGACAUCACUCAGGCUGUUGGAUUGUUCCCAGUCCUGACAGGUACCAUAGAACCAGUGGGAGAUGUACUGUUCUUGUCUUUCCAGCCAGAGAGGAGCCAAGAGGGACCAGAGUCUGAAGCAACAAGAUGCCACAGCAUUUGGGCUUGAGUACAACAUGGCAGAUUCUUGCUGAGUUACACAGAGGUUUCUGCAAGCCAUGCAACAUGACUUUCUGGACAAUGAGACACGUCUGCUCCUGGCAGCACCGAUUUACUUCAUAGAAAAAGAUGGCCAUUGACAACACUCCAUAUGGAGUUUAUCUUCUUCUUGGCAAAAAUAGCCAUUUGGGCAAGAAACUAUUCUUGCCUGAACUGCUUGACAAAAUGUAUAUAAACUGGACAUUCAGGACCUAUAGGAAGGUGACCACUGAACUUUGCAAGGCAAGAUGGUCCUUCAGGUUCUUGCUUCACAGAAGAUACUGCCAUACAUUCUACAGGACACAGAGAAAAAAAUGACUGAGAGACUAGGCCUAUGGGCUGAAGAUGGAUGCCCAACAUUGCAGAGAAACUUUGGAUGACUACCCGGGCAGACAGCUGUCUCUGUUAUUUUCAGAAUUUUUGGAAGUCACUUUUCCUGUUUCCUUAGCUGCAGGGCUGGUGAGUGAGAGAGAUUUGUCAUGACCGUGAGACAGGCAUGACACAGGAAAAUUUCAGCUACAGACCACCACCUCCUUACAACUUGCACCUUCCGGUAUAUUCCUAUGGCAUGUGAUGUAGUUACCAUUGCCUUCUACAAAUUAAUCAAGAUGGGAAACCAACUGGACCAUCCAUUAUAAUUUCAUUUGAAAGUAUCCCUAUCUUCAUUUGACUCUUCUGCUGGAGGAAUAUUAAUUCUAGCUUUGGAAUCAUGUUUCUUCCUGAUUGGGAUUUGACCAAAUACGCCUGGAUGUAAGAUCCACAUGUUCUUAAAAAUGCAUGAUAUUUGGUACAUCAAAGUCCUCAAGUCUCAGGUUCAUCAUUUAAAAGACUAUGGGAUCUUGCAGUUAUGGGGCUACCUAAACCAAACAUGCUGCCUAAAGUCAUUUCCCUGUGACUGUCAACUGAACAACACUGGUGUGGGCACAUAGGAACAGGUAAAUAACAUAAAAACAGUCAUUCUGUAAAUCUGAAAGGCGCAGGGGGUAGUUUUCUCUCUCUAUCCACCCCCCAUGUUAUUUUCUUCCUUGGCUUUUUACCCUACUCCUCAACAGCUACUGCUGAUUUUCAUCUGGGCAACCGUACUAGACCAAAGUCUAAAUUGGCCUGAAGGGUGGUGCCUAGGGUAGCUAGGGCAUUUCAAAGAGUACAUGAUGUUUCAUAAACACUAACAACAUCUAGUCAAUCUAAACACUGUGUCCGUAUUUGCAGAAUGUGGGGCAAUGCUUAACACUACGGAGAUGGCUGUUUCCUCCAGCG